GCGCUCUUGGUGUAGCGUCAACACACAUCCUGUCUGUUGAUGGGUAGUCAAGGAACGUUACGGAUGAGUUCGGAGUUCGACUCCCCGAGGGCGCA